rnacentral:ncRNA from 1 species
AAAGUUCAGCCCUGAAAAUGCAGCUCAGCAUAUCAGGUACCGAGCCUUGAGUAAGUACUGGUAACAGUGCGUGCUAAGCGUAGGCAGGGAAAUAAUAGGCCGUAAGCCAAAGAGCUGAAGUGAUUGAGCCUCGUAAACAUGUAUCAGAAGGCAAUAUCGAAUAGGACGUUAAGAGAAGAAAUAUUCGACAUCUCCGGGGUCUUAGAGCA